CUACACUAUCACUUGGUGAAUAUUUAAUAAACAGAUUUUGAAGUCAACUAAUAUUUGCAGUAAGAGAGUCAAGUGUGACUGAGCAGGACCUUAGGGGGCCCCUCUCCCCAGGUCCUCUGCUGUGGCUCCUCUCUGAAGUAUUUAGACAACUGUAUUUGAUGCAUAUUCCCUAAGUUGUUUUACUAAUGCUAAAACCCCGACUAAAUGGAAGAAGUUAACUACUCAAUGACCUUGAGCAAGUACCCCCUAGACCUACUAAAGGCUGAAGACUGAUAAUGUUAACCCCUGUGACACCACCCUCUUACCUCACCAUCAACCAAUCAGAGAAUCAUGCCCAAGCGCAUCACAAACCCUGCAACUCCUCUCCCUCACCUAGCCUUUAAAUGCUUCCCCAAAACCUACUGGGCAGUCUGGGCUUUUUGAGCAUGAGCUGCCCUGGAUUCCUCAUCUGGCACCUUACAAGAAAUUCUGUACUUUCCUGGACUAUAACAGAAUCACAGGAAAAGACCCUAAUCUGCAAAAGAUUGAAGGCAUGAGAAGGGGAUGUUGGAUGACAUCCUCAACUCAAUGCACAAGAGUUUGAGCAAAUUCACAGAGACGGUGAAGAACAUGGAAGCUUGGUGUGCUGCAGUCCAGGAGGAAAGAGUCAGACAUGACUGAGUAACUGAACAACAGCAAAAGAACUGGAAAAUAUCUAGACCCUCAUCAGUUCUGCAAAGCUACGUUUCCC
rnacentral:lncRNA from 1 species